rnacentral:piRNA from 1 species
GUACAAUCCUCAAUUACCUGCGGGAUGGGUC